CCUACGGGAGGCUGCAGUCGAGAAUCAUUCACAAUGGGGGAAACCCUGAUGGUGCGACGCCGCGUGGGGGAAUGAAGGUCUUCGGAUUGUAAACCCCUGUCAUGUGGGAGCAAAUUAAAAAGAUAGUACCACAAGAGGAAGAGACGGCUAACUCUGUGCCAGCAGCCGCGAGAAUACAGAGGUCUCAAGCGUUGUUCGGAAUCACUGGGCGUAAAGCGUGCGUAGGCUGUUUCGUAAGUCGUGUGUGAAAGGCGCGGGCUCAACCCGAGGACGGCACAUGAUACUGCGAGACUAGAGUAAUGGAGGGGGAACCGGAAUUCUCGGUGUAGUCGUGAAAGGCGUAGAUAUCGAGAGGAACACUCGUGGCGAAGGCGGGUUCCUGGACAUUAACUGACGCUGAGGCACGAAGGCCAGGGGAGCGAAAGGGAUUAGAUACCCCAGUAGUC
rnacentral:rRNA from 1 species